rnacentral:sRNA from 1 species
UUUCCGUAGGUGAACCUGCGGAAGGAUCAUUACCGAGUGCGGGCCCCUCGGGGCCCAACCUCCCACCCGUGUUGCCCGAACCUAUGUUGCCUCGGCGGGCCCCGCGCCCGCCGACGGCCCCCCUGAACGCUGUCUGAAGUUGCAGUCUGAGACCUAUAACGAAAUUAGUUAAAACUUUCAACAACGGAUCUCUUGGUUCCGGCAUCGAUGAAGAACGCAGCGAAAUGCGAUAACUAAUGUGAAUUGCAGAAUUCAGUGAAUCAUCGAGUCUUUGAACGCACAUUGCGCCCUCUGGUAUUCCGGAGGGCAUGCCUGUCCGAGCGUCAUUGCUGCCCUCAAGCCCGGCUUGUGUGUUGGGCCCCGUCCCCCCCGCCGGGGGGACGGGCCCGAAAGGCAGCGGCGGCACCGCGUCCGGUCCUCGAGCGUAUGGGGCUUCGUCACCCGCUCUAGUAGGCCCGGCCGGCGCCAGCCGACCCCCAACCUUUAAUUAUCUCAGGUUGACCUCGGAUCAGGUAGGGAUACCCGCUGAACUUAA